AUUGAACGCUGGCGGCAGGCCUAACACAUGCAAGUCGAGCGGAGCGGCGGAAGGGUGAUUAAUGCCUAGGAAUCUGCCUGGUGGUGGGGGAUAACGUCCGGAAACGGGCGCUAAUACCGCAUACUAUCAGAUCAGCCUAGGUCGGAUUAGCUAGUUGGUGGGGUAACGGCUUACCAAGGCGACGAUCCGUAACUGGUCUGAGAGGAUGAUCAGUCACACUGGGACUGAGACACGGUCCAGACUCCUACGGGAGGCAGCAGUAGGGAAUCUUGGGCAAUGGGCGAAAGUCUGAUCCAGCCAUGCCGCGUGAGUGAAGAAGGUUUUCGGAUUGUAAAGCACUGUAAGUUGGGAGGCGGUACCUACAGAGUAAGCACCGGCUAACUACGUGCCAGCAGCCGCGGUAAUAC
rnacentral:rRNA from 1 species